UUAAAACUGCGCUGGGUGUACCUGCUCAUCAAACACCCGAUCUUGCAAGACCAUUAUUAAAAGUCUCGCUUUUGCUGUUCUUGGAUCUCUGAGUCCAUUCUUUGCAUUUGGAUGGGCAAAGGUGCACACCUGAAAGAACUCUUCAGCUACCGGAUAUGAACAUGAAGGACUGCUGGUACCCACACUCAGUCAAUGACUCACAGGAGCCUUGUUACUUUGGCAAGAAUUCUAUGUUCAUUUAAUAAGUUUGCAGAGACGGACGGAAAUCUGCUUUAUUACUCUCAUCCCUCAGCCCGGAAAGCCAAAUCCUUUAUCAGUACAGCUGCUGCUUCAUUCCACAUGUCUGAAGACACCGCUGUCUCCUCAAUCAGCAGCUUUGGCAGAGAGUCAGGUUCUGGCAGGGGUGAUGUAGAAUGGAGAGAGGUAUUUGCUUACAGCGGGUGAAAAAUGUUUAAGAGAAUAAAAGGAAAACUUUAAACAGUGUCAAGUCCAAUAAAAGAGAGAGGACAUCGGGGGCCAUCCAGCUGCCCACAAUCUGCUCACAGGUAAAGAAAUGGAAAUUUGUCAUUAACAGAAGAUAAAAACAGAGGGUGGAAGGAGGAAAUUGAAGCACAUUCUUGGACAAGAAUAAAAUCAUUAAAAUGUUAACAAAAGUUCACAUGAGCCAGUCUCUGCUGAGGAUGCUACUUCACCACCAAUUUACUGCACCUUGCAGUGGGUCUGAGAGGUGUCCCAGCUGCCGCCAGGCCCCUCCCUGGGCUGACAGCUGUUAACAGCUCAGAGCUGCAGUGAUAAACAAAACAUGAGGGAGCACUGUGACCUGCUGUUCUGUGUUCCCUUCUCCAUAUCCACAAGAUGCAGUGCUGCUUCAGACAACUGCAAAAUCCAAGCAGGAAGUGAUAUAAAUGUUGAGAAUGGAUUCAUUAAGUUGUUGCUUUUAGUUUUACACUGGCUGCAACCCUGUAUGACUACAUAAGUCUCAGAGAAUGUAGAAAGUCUCACCUUAACGCUUGUUGUUGGUGAUGGAUGUAUUGCAAUCUUGUAAAAUUCUUGUGGAUUUCUCAUAAUUAUUUUUGUAAUUAUA
rnacentral:lncRNA from 1 species